rnacentral:rRNA from 1 species
UUUAGUACGAGAGGAACGAGGGCUCGGGGCCACUAGUUUACCAGUUGUCUGACAAGGCAAUGCUGGGUAGCCACGCCCUGAUGGAUAAGAGCUGAAAGCAUCUAAGCUCGAAGCCGCCCCAGAGACGAGACACCUCAGAACGCUCGUAAAAGACGAGUUUGAUAGACUGCGGAUGUAAGCACGAAGCUUCGGCGACGUGUUCAGUCCAGCAGCACUAAUUGUUCGAGCAUCUU